rnacentral:rRNA from 1 species
GCAAUGAGAGUUGUGCUAAGGUAGCGCGAUAAUUUGUCUCUUAAUUAGAGAAUGGUAUGAAGGGUUAGACGUGGGAUUAUUGUCUCUAAAAAAGAUAGUUAAGUUUCCUUUUAAAUGAAAAGGUUUAAAUUUAUUAAAAGACGAGAAGACCCUGUCGAGCUUAAUUAAAUAAAAAACUAGAUAUGGUUAAAUGAAAAGUGUUAAUAGUUUAAUUGUUGGCUGAGUUUUUAAUUGAAGUUUAGUUGGGGAGAGCUGAGUUUAAGGUAAUAAACUUAAGAAAUACUAAAGAUCCUCUUUGAGAGAAGUUAGCAAAAGCUACCGCAGGGAUAACAGCGUAAUUCUUUUUAAGAGAUCUUAUUGAGGGAAGAGUUUGCGACCUCGAUGUUGGAUUAUAA